rnacentral:misc_RNA from 1 species
GGAAGAAACCCUAAUUCCAGGGUUGCAGAUUUCGAAUAAAAGAUAUUGAGAAGAAAUUGAAAAGAAUUGGGGAAGAGAUAGAAGAACAGAGUCAGAUUAGAGAAAAGAAGAAGAAGAAGAAGAAGAAACCCUAAUUCAGGGUUACGAAUCUCGAAUAGAAGAUGUUGAGAAGAAAUUGAAAAGAAUUAGGGCAGAGAUAGAAGAACAGAGUCGGAUUAGAGAG